rnacentral:rRNA from 1 species
GAUUCCCCGAGUAAUGGCGAAUGAAACGGGAAAAGCCCAAAUUUGAAAUCUCCUGGCCUGUGCCAGGCGAGUUGUAAUUUGUAGAAGGUCUCCAUCUGAACUGUGUUUGCCAAAGUCCAUUGGAACAUGGCGGGCCUUCGGGCCCUCAAGUCACAGAGGGUGAAAACCCCGUUCUUGGCAUUCUACUAGUUCUCUUGUAUGGUUCCUUCAAAGAGUCGGAUUGUUUGGGAAUGCAAUCCAAAAGGGGUGGUAAAUUCCAUCCAAGGCUAAAUAUCAGCAAGAGACCGAUAGCGAACAAGUACCGUGAGGGAAAGAUGAAAAGAACUCUGAAGAGAGAGUUCAACAGUACGUGAAAUUGCUGAAAGGGAAACGUUUGAAACGAUUGUUGCCUUUGGUUUCGGCCUUGGGCGAGUCAGCAGCAGUUUUGGGCGGUAAAGAAGCGCUUGCAGAAGGUAGUUUUCUUCGGGAAAUGUUAUAGCUGCAGGUGGCUGUGCCGCGCAAGACUGAGGACUGCUUUUGGGUGCCUUGUCGAGGGAUUCUGGGCUGUUCAUGCCAAGGCCUUGGGCUCUGCUCAAGACUUGGUGUGAGCCGUUCAGGACGACCAAACACACGGCCCCAGAAUAGGUUGCUGACAAAAUGGUUUUAAACGACCCGUCUUGAAACACGGACCAAGGAGUGCAACAAACUUGCGAGUCGUAGGGUGACAAACCUGAAGGCGCAAUGAAAGUGAAAAAAUACCACCCGGCAACGGGGCAGUAUUGCCCGGUCUUGCGGCCCAAUGCCAAAGGAUCUGAGGUAGAGCAAGUUUGCUGCGACCCGAAAGAUGGUGAACUAUGCCUGCAUAGGGCGAAGCCAGAGGAAACUCUGGUGGAGGCUCGUAGCGAUUCUGACGUGCAAAUCGAUCGUCAAAUGUGGGUAUAGGGGCGAAAGACUAAUCGAACCAUCUAGUAGCUGGKUUCC